GUUCCCAUCGAUUAGUGGUCAGAUCAUCACGUUGUGGCUCAUGCGAAACCGUGGAGACGGGGGCUCGACUCCCCCUGGGAACA